GACGAACGCUGGCGGCGUGCUUAACACAUGCAAGUCGAACGGAAAGGCCCUGCUUGCAGGGUACUCGAGUGGCGAACGGGUGAGUAACACGUGGGUUAUCUGCCCUGCACUUCGGGAUAAGCCUGGGAAACUGGGUCUAAUACCGGAUAGGAGCCAUUUUUAGUGUGAUGGUUGGAAAGUUUUUUCGGUGUAGGAUGAGCUCGCGGCCUAUCAGCUUGUUGGUGGGGUAAUGGCCUACCAAGGCGGCGACGGGUAGCCGGCCUGAGAGGGUGGACAGCCACAUUGGGACUGAGAGACGGCCCAGACUCCUACGGGAGGCAGCAGUGGGGAAUAUUGCACAAUGGGCGCAAGCCUGAUGCAGCGACGCCGCGGGGGGGAUGACGGCCUUCGGGUUGUAAACUCCUUUCGCUAGGGACGAAGCUUUUUGUGACGGUACCUAGAUAAGAAGCACCGGCUAACUACGUG
rnacentral:rRNA from 1 species